ACCAGGAUGGCCGAGUGGUUAAGGUGUUAGACUUAAGAUUCAAUGGACAAGAGUCUGUGUGGGUUCGAUCCCCACUCCUUGUU
rnacentral:tRNA from 1 species